AUUCCAGCUCCAAUAGCGUAUACUAAAGUUGUUGCAGUUAAAAAGCUCGUAGUUGAAUUUCUGGUCUUGGACAGCGGUCUGCCUCAAAAGAGGUACGCACCAUCUAUCCGAGUCCAUCCUCGGGGAAAACAUGUAUGUGAUUCAGUUCAUGUGCAUGGGAUCCUCGUCAUUUACUGUGAGCAAAAUAGAGUGUUCAAAGCAGGCUUAUGCCGUUGAAUAUUUUAGCAUGGAAUAAUAAGAUAAGACCUUGGUCUAUUUUGUUGGUUUGUACUCCAAGGUAAUGAUUAAUAGGGACAGUUGGGGGUAUUCGUAUUCAAUUGUCAGAGGUGAAAUUCUUGGAUUUAUUGAAGACGAACUACUGCGAAAGCAUUUACCAAGGAUGUUUUCAUCA
rnacentral:rRNA from 1 species